ensembl:snRNA U4 U4 spliceosomal RNA
AGCUUUGCGCAGUGGCAGUACCGUAGCCAAUGAGGUUUAUCCGAGGCGCGAUUAUUGCUAAUUGUUUUAUUUUUCAGAAUUGUUUUGGCUAUUCUUGCUCCUUUAUUUUACCAUAUUAAUUUUAUUUUUUAAAAAUAUUUUUAUU